UCGGGAAUUUUGGGCAAUGGGGGCAACCCUGAUCCAGCAAUGCCGCGUGAGUGAAGAAGGCCUUCGGGUUGUAAAGCUCUUUUGUCAGGGAAGAAACGGUAGUAGCGAAUAACUAUUACUAAUGACGGUACCUGAAGAAUAAGCACCGGCUAACUACGUGCCAGCAGCCGCGGUAAUACGUAGGGUGCAAGCGUUAAUCGGAAUUACUGGGCGUAAAGCGUGCGCAGGCGGUUGUGUAAGUCAGAUGUGAAAUCCCCGGGCUUAACCUGGGAACUGCAUUUGUGACUGCCAGACUAGGGUGUAGCAGAGGGGGGUAGAAUUCCACGUGUAGCAGUGAAAUGCGUAGAUAUGUGGAGGAAUACCGAUGGCGAAGGCAGCCCCCUGGGCUGUAACUGACGCUGAGGCGCGAAAGCAUGGGGAGCAAACAGGAUUAGAUACCCAAGUAGUCCCUGAGCGGGCUGGCAAGGCGCAU
rnacentral:rRNA from 1 species